UACAGAGGGUGCGAGCGUUGUCCGGAAUCACUGGGCGUAAAGGGCGCGUAGGCGGCGCGGUAAGCGUGCGGUGAAAGCCCGGGGCUCAACCCCGGGUCGGCCGUGCGGACUGCCGGGCUGGAGCACUGUAGAGGCAGGUGGAAUUCCGGGUGUAGCGGUGGAAUGCGUAGAGAUCCGGAAGAACACCGGUGGCGAAGGCGGCCUGCUGGGCAGUGGCUGACACUGAGGCGCGACAGCGUGGGGAGCAAACAGG
rnacentral:rRNA from 1 species